rnacentral:rRNA from 1 species
AGGCCAGCAUCAGUUCGGGCGGUUGGAUAAAGGCUCUGGGAAUGUAUCUACCUACGGGUAGACUUAUAGACCAGGGUGUCAUGCGGCCUCUCGGGACCGAGGAACGCGCUUCGGCUCGGAUGUUGGCGUAAUGGUUGUCAGCGA